rnacentral:rRNA from 1 species
GACGAACGCUGGCGGCGUGCUUAACACAUGCAAGUCGAACGAGGUCCACUGCGUAGCAAUACAAGGGAAGACCUAGUGGCGAACGGGUGCGUAACACGUGAGGAACUUGUCCCGGUCUCUGGGAUAACAGUUGGAAACGACUGCUAAUACCGGAUGACGUCGGAAUCUCGCAUGGGAUACUGACGAAAGGGUUACUGGAUCGGGAGAGCCUCGCGGCCUAUCAGCUUGUUGGUGAGGUAACGGCUCACCAAGGCAUCGACGGGUAGCUGGUCUGAGAGGAUGAUCAGCCACACUGGGACUGAGACACGGCCCAGACUCCUACGGGAGGCAGCAGUGGGGAAUCUUGCGCAAUGGGCGAAAGCCUGACGCAGCAACGCCGCGUGCGGGAAGAAGGCCCUCGGGUUGUAAACCGCUUUCAGUAGGACGAAAAUGACGGUACCUGCAGAAGAAGGUGCGGCCAACUACGUGCCAGCAGCCGCGGU